rnacentral:rRNA from 1 species
AGGCUCAGAUUGAACGCUGGCGGCAGGCCUAACACAUGCAAGUCGAGCGGAUGAGAGGAGCUUGCUCUUCGAUUCAGCGGCGGACGGGUGAGUAAUGCCUAGGAAUCUGCCUAGUAGUGGGGGACAACGUUUCGAAAGGAACGCUAAUACCGCAUACGUCCUACGGGAGAAAGUGGGGGAUCUUCGGACCUCACGCUAUUAGAUGAGCCUAGGUCGGAUUAGCUAGUUGGUAGGGUAAAGGCCUACCAAGGCGACGAUCCGUAACUGGUCUGAGAGGAUGAUCAGUCACACUGGAACUGAGACACGGUCCAGACUCCUACGGGAGGCAGCAGUGGGGAAUAUUGGACAAUGGGCGAAAGCCUGAUCCAGCCAUGCCGCGUGUGUGAAGAAGGCCUUCGGGUCGUAAAGCACUUUAAGUUGGGAGGAAGGGCUCAUAGCGAAUACCUGUGAGUUUUGACGUUACCAACAGAAUAAGCACCGGCUAACUUCGUGCCAGCAGCCGCGGUAAUACGAAGGGUGCAAGCGUUAAUCGGAAUUACUGGGCGUAAAGCGCGCGUAGGUGGCUUGAUAAGUUGGAUGUGAAAUCCCCGGGCUCAACCUGGGAACUGCAUCCAAAACUGUCUGGCUAGAGUGCGGUAGAGGGUAGUGGAAUUUCCAGUGUAGCGGUGAAAUGCGUAGAUAUUGGAAGGAACACCAGUGGCGAAGGCGACUACCUGGACUGACACUGA